GGCCGCGACGGCGGGGCGCGGACAGGUGGGCUGGCGGGGGGCGGGCCGCGGCCGUGUGUAGGCAGCGGAGCGGCUGCGGAACGGCGGCGGCGGUGGCGUCGGGAGCCCCGGCCCCGCGAUAAAAGGGAAGGGGCUGGGCGGCGGGCGGUGCGCGUUGCGGCACUGGGGGGGGGGAGCGUGGCUGGGAAGGAGGGAGGGAGCGAGCGAAGGAGCCGCCUCCCGCAGGAAUCCCGGGCGGGUGGCAGUAACAGUAGUAGCAGCGGCGGCAGCCGGGACGCGCGGCUCCCCCUGGCUGCGCGGCGGCGGGAGGCCGGUGAGCAUCGAGGAGCAGCCGCCGCCUCAUCCUGCGGCAGCAGCCGGCGCUGCACGGAGAACGCAGGUGGCAGUGUAGAAGCCAAGAACAAAAAUUGGCAGAAAUUACAUUCUGUGUACGAGAGAAUGAAGAGUAUACUCAUGACUAAGCACAGGAACCUGGAAAACCACAGGCUUUGGUCAGGUGAUCCAUGGUGACUGGUCAGCCCACCAAGAGGGUACCUCAGCAACCAGGUGGUGUUGGACUAAUGCUGUGGAUCGUUCAGCCCAGAACUUGUAGUUGCCCAUCAAUCGCUCAGUAGUCAGUGUAGAUUCUGUCUUUACAAUCAGCAGCUACAUCUGGCUACUGGGUCUCUGAUGACAUCUCGUAUCUUCCAUCUAGACUGUUUGUUGGAUUUCUGUCUUCUCUCCUCGGUGCCGAGCAAAUUCACAGUGCUAACAAGUUAACAUCGGAAGUGUGGCCCCAAGUAAAGGAUUGGAUAUAUUGGAUGUUGGAUCUACUUUACAGUGGGAAUCAGAUCAAAUAUCUGAAUGUUUUAUAUUGGGAAGCAGAAAUGUUUUCCACAGCCUCUUCUGGGGGCUGUAGUUUAACUGGUAUCUGUAAAUUUGAACUAUAAAAAUGAUUGGAUUUCUUCAGUGAAGAGUCUUCAGCCUACCCUAAGCAAAGGAUGGGUGUUGAAAAAGGUAUCUUGUCUGAUUGUGUGACUGUUGCAUAUUAGGGGAGGAAAUGUACUGUGAACUGCGGUGCACACAGCUGCUGUUAAUCAGUUGUGUGGGAAGACUGUCCAGGUUUGGGGCAUGAACCUGGCAUACAAUGUAGAUUUCUGUGUUUGUUAAGCAACAGCUACAUUGUCUGCUGGGUUUCCAGCUGCCUGGAAAUACAAAGUGGAGGGUUGUCUACAAUUUUUUUUGUCAAGUUGCCUCUCUGCCAAUCUUAAAUAAGGAAAAAUAAUGCAAUUGAGGUCUGUGGGCUCCCUUACUGCUUGUUCCAGCUCAAGUGAUCCAGCUGGUGUCAGUAGAGCUGGAAGCCAGGGUGGAUCUGAAACUAGUUAAGAAGAAGGUGCUACAAGGGGCUGGAGUGUUGCAGGCAUCUGAACUUGAGCAGCUCUCAUGUAGGAGCUAAUGCAUGCUAUGUACAUAACCAUUAUCUUGCCUUGGUGAUGGUCUUGCUUUUUCUUUAAACUUCAGAGAGAGCUGUGUGUGUACUGUAUAGUUAGGAAAUGGUUUUCAAGAAGGGAGUAGUGGGAAACUUUUUAUAGGUCUGAUAAAUGUAUUUAUUUUAAAAAGCACUACACGUGGUAUGGCUUAUAAACAAAGUGCCUUGAAGUAAUUGGGGAGGGAUAAGCUAAUGUCUUGAGUGUUGGCACCAGCUGGAUCUCUUAAGCUUCACCAAAACUAGGAUGUUUCACUUGUGCACUAUAUUUAGCUGAGCAGUGACAAAACAGGCAGUUUCAGUUUGAGAAGAUUAGGCCUGGAAUAGCAGGAGACUGUCCAUUCAGACUUGAACUGCAGUCAUAGUAGUGAAUGGGGAAGUUUGUUCAGCUUGAGUUUGUACAGCAUAUGGCUGUACUGUUAACUUUUCAGUGUUGGUAUCAUGUGCACUUUGACCAUGGACACUGUAAGAGCUGUAAUGGCCAAAAAUGAAGAAAUGUGUGGCUUCGUUAAGCCUGUGUUCUCUGAAUUAUCUACAGGUUGUUAAGAUCAGCAGGCAUCCAGAACUUUUUUUAUUUGAAUAACAUAUUUAAAGAAGCAGAAGGGUUCCUAAGUGAGUGCUUGUAUUAAAAAAUUUUUGUUUCUGUUAAAAACGAAUAAAACUUCUAGUGGUAAGAACUGUGUCCUUCUG
rnacentral:lncRNA from 1 species